rnacentral:rRNA from 1 species
ACGGAGCCAGCAGGUAAGAAUAUUCCGCAAUGGGCGAAAGCCUGACGGAGCGACGCCGCGUGGAUGACGAAGGCCGAAAGGUUGUAAAGUCCUUUUGCCGGGGAAGAAUAAGCGUGGGAGGGAAUGCCCGCGCGAUGACAUGAACCGGCGAAUAAGCCCUGGCUAACUACGUGCCAGCAGCCGCGGUAACACGUAGGGGGCGAGCGUUGUUCGGAAUUACUGGGCGUAAAGGGCAUGUAGGCGGCCCUGUAAGCCCGGCGUGAAAGUCCACGGCUCAACCGUGGGACUGCGUCGGGAACUGCGGGGCUUGAAUCAUGGAGAGGGAGCUGGACUUCCUGGUGUAGGGGUGAAAUCUGUAGAGAUCAGGAAGAAUACCAGUGGCGAAGGCGAGCUCCUGGCCAAUGAUUGACGCUGAGGUGCGAAAGUGUGGGGAUCAAACAGGAUUAGAUACCCUGGUAGUCCACGCCGUAAACGAUGAUCACUAGAUUUUGGCCGCAAGGUCAGAGUCCAAGCGAAAGUGUUUAGUGAUCCACCUGGGGAGUACGACCGCAAGGUUGAAACUCAAAUGAAUUGACGG